rnacentral:rRNA from 1 species
AAUCUUGCGCGAUGGGCGAAAGCCUGACGCAGCCAUGUCGCGUGAAUGAUGAAGGUCUUAGGAUUGGAAAAUUCUUUCACCGGGGACGAUAAUGACGGUACCCGGAGAAGAAGCCUCGGCUAACUUCGUGCCAGCAGCCGCGGUAAUACGAAGGGGGCUAGCGUUGCUCGGAAUUACUGGGCGUAAAGGGCGCGUAGGCGGACAUUUAAGUCAGUGGUGAAAUCCCAGGGCUCCACUCUGGAACAGCCUUUGAUACUGGGUGUCUUAAGUGUGAGUGAGGUAUGUGGAACUCCGAGUGUAGAGAUGAAAUUCGUAGAUAUUCGGAAGAACACCAGUGGCGAAGGCGACAUACUGGCUCAUUACUGACGCUGAGGCGCGAAAGCGUGAGGAGCAAACA